rnacentral:rRNA from 3 species
AAAACUUUCAACAACGGAUCUCUUGGUUCUGGCAUCGAUGAAGAACGCAGCGAAAUGCGAUAAGUAAUGUGAAUUGCAGAAUUCAGUGAAUCAUCGAAUCUUUGAACGCACAUUGCGCCCCUCGGCACUCCGGGGGGCAUGCCUGUUCGAGCGUCAUU